AACGAACGCUGGCGGCAUGCCUAACACAUGCAAGUCGAACGAACCCUUCGGGGUUAGUGGCGCACGGGUGCGUAACGCGUGGGAAUCUGCCCUUGGGUUCGGAAUAACAGUUAGAAAUGACUGCUAAUACCGGAUGAUGUCUUCGGACCAAAGAUUUAUCGCCCAGGGAUGAGCCCGCGUAGGAUUAGGUAGUUGGUGGGGUAAAGGCCUACCAAGCCGACGAUCCUUAGCUGGUCUGAGAGGAUGAUCAGCCACACUGGGACUGAGACACGGCCCAGACUCCUACGGGAGGCAGCAGUGGGGAAUAUUGGACAA
rnacentral:rRNA from 1 species